UUCUAAGUUAAGAGGUACUUUCGAUGGCAAGGGCAAAAAAGUACCUUUUUUUUAUUCUAAUUUCCUAAUUAACCUAUUUAUUACUUAAAACUAAAUGUCUUCUACAUGCUCACUUAAAUUUAUAACAGAAAUGUACACAGUUUAGUCAUAACAAGUUCUAAUACAAGAAAAACGUCUCUCCCCUGGGCUGUCCCAAACCCGAUUUUAUUUGUAAACCAGUUAUUAUGAAUGCAUUUAAAUUAAAUAAUUACUUCAUCAUCGUUAAUUUUAUACAGAACAAUAACUUAGGAACACUGUCUUAUAAGUCAAAUUACAUAAAUUCAAAUUUUUCAUAAAUAAUAUCAACGCCGAAAUUUGUCCUCCGUAUUUCUUGUCUCGUCCCCUGGCUUUUUGUUUCCGUUUAAAAGUCAGUAUUGUUUUACUAUUUUGUGGAAGUUAUGUCCUUUAGUGCAUAGGAUGUAACGUGAAGCUAUCGGCAAGCAGCGAUUAAGCCGACUGCGAAGUCAUUUUAACCGCCAUUUCAGUCACGCCGUUCGCUGGGUGUAGAAGUGUUGAGUGAAUGCAGUCUUUCCUCUGAAAAAAUGGCAUCUAGAAAGCUAAAGCCCUUGAGAAAACCUGCCCGAAUAUAAAAAUUUUCACCGUAGAUACACCGUAGACAUACUAUCGGAAAAAGCAGCAACAUUAGGUUCUACUGAAGGUAUAAAGACUUUUUCAGGCACAGUAAAGGUUCACCAAGUUACCGGUUGCGUAUUUCUACCUAAUUGCCUGACAUUAUAAAAAGUUUGAGAUGCUUCUGUGACUCCAGAGUUGUCAUUAUUUUGAAUUGGGUACCUACUUUGGAUUAUCCACAAAUACAUGUUAAAGUCACUGUUUCUGUGAAGGAAACUACGCAACAUCU